CAAUGCGCAAUUUCAGCAUUUGGUUUACCACUUGCCUCAUGCUAGGGCGAUCACGGGGUGAGUUCUCAACACAUUGCAUUGUUAACCUCGUGAUCUUAGGUCCGUCCUUUGAAUAGAAUCCCGGGUCCGCUUCCAGGCUUGCAUGCACCAAGGAGCAUUUCGUCUUGUCAUCUGACCCUGCGAUUUUCUCCUCAUACAUCUUAACCCAAUCAUCAAGAAAAGGUCCUUCCGGGUGCUUAUAGGGCCUCUUCGUAAUCAAAUUAAGUAGAACAACACCAAACGCAAGCACAUCGCUUUCUGUUGACCAGCCUGUCAAAGGAAAAGCUUGAGGUUAACUCGCAGAAAAAUGAAACCAAGGCAUUCACAAGCGAAACCUUUUUAAAAUGAUCGACAAUCUCUCGUCAUAGGCCAUUCAACCGAAACAAGACAACAGUGUGCCUGAGGCCAAUAUUCGAACAAGGAGCUCCUUUUAUGAUGUCACGACUCCCAACAUCAUCACUGGACAACCUACUUGAAUGUCAAUUGUUCUCCCAUAUCUUUUCACUGUCAAUUGUUCUCCCAUAUCUUUUCACUUCGAGGAAAGUGGCUGAGCGAAUAAUUUCCGAGGAAGUGACCCUCUGAAAACUUUGAUAGAGUCUGAGCAUGAUUCAGGCGGAACAUUAGUGAGACUGGUGCCUAACAAGGAAGUGACACGUUUAGUACAUCUCCACCCCAAAGACCUCCCCAAAAAUGUUUUCCCGGAUAUAUCUGCGAGUACUAACUUAACUUUAUGCUUUCCUAUUGAAAUAAAUACUUAAUAAUGGGACCAUAACAUUAGACAUUGUUCUUCUAUUUCGAUCAUACCAAAAAGUUACGGUGUACCAGUUAGAUAGAACUUGGAACUUUAACUAUUGAUGCAUAUAUUUAACCUUGGGGGUACUUUACGUAACCUGCUUGCUUCCUAAUGCCGCAAUGUGACAUGGAUGAACAUAAGUCUACUACGACGCUCUGGACAUGAAUAUAGAAAAAUGUCACCAGUCCCAGUCUUCCCUGUCAAACCAUUUCACAAAAAGAGUAUCUCGAUGAAGUGCUUCAAGAAUCCAUUCAGUAAUUGGGGAUUCUAGGGUAUAGUAGGAUUUUAUAUGCUAACUUUCAGACAUCGACUUAAUGGAACUCCAUAUGGAUCUUGUGCAGAAACACAAAAGGCCAGAGGUUCAGGAAAUGCUCAGAGUUUUUGUGGAUCUAGUAGAAUAACUUCAGCAGUUGAAGUGAUGAGACAUGCCGCUGCUAGCAACAUCAUUAGGAGCUUCAAAGUCAUUUAUCUAGGACAUUUCAUAAGCUCAAUUAUAGGAAUGUCCAGCCAUAUCUUAAUUUUAUCCAUCAUAGUCGUGUAUAUGUUGGAAAAACGAAUAACUUGCAGCCCGGUAUCAGUCUGCCUAACAAAGGCAUGUUGAGUGAAGGAGAUGCGGUCAAAGAGGGGUCAGUUCCCCCAAGGUUAGGAGGAACAUCUCCUUAAUUUUAUCAAGAUGGCAAUGAAGGUGGACAUCAUAACGGUCUAUCAGGCCUACGUGCAUUUCAAUUCCUUUAUGAGUGAGGUCUGUAUACCUAAGUAUCUCCUCAAAUUAAGCAGAGUAUCAUUUCCGGAGAGUAAUCGAUCAUUCAAUGUGGUUUGUUAAACAUAGAAAAAAUCAGACUUAGGCAUAAUUACUUACGAAGACACUGUAUAGGUGAUGAUGAGAAAAUCGGUGCAUGAGACCUAAAAACUCUUCUUUUAAAUGUCGACUUCAGCUCUAAAGUUGGCUCUUCUAAAAACAGGCCCCCUCUUUCUGCAAAACCUUAUUCAGGACCUCAUCCAUCUAUUAUAGAAUCGGAGCUUGGUAUUUGCUGUCCCUGCUCUAUUGCAGCUGCUCUCACUUUAAUUGGUUAAAUACUCAUACCAAGUCCUGAUGACUCGCCUCGUAGAUCAUAUCUUUGUUCUCCUAGAUCACCAAUCGGCGAGCUGUCUUGCAAUUGAGAACAAUAGGAAAGAGACAGCAUAGAUGGAUAUGACCUGUUUGCGAAAUGCACCCUUGACACUACCUACUUUACUCUAUUGGUCCGUUGCAAGACAGAUUACUCAUCAUUGGAGACUCAACUGUUCCACAAACAAAGUGAAGCUUCAUAACAAGGCGAUGAUGGGAGGAGUGAGCAUAAAUUGGAUUCUAGAUGGAGCCUGGACUUCUAUGGAGUAUUCAAUCUGAGAAUUUAGUCAUGGAGUUACUGAGAAAAACAUCGGGAAAAACUCACCGAGGGAAUGAGCACACUCCUAAAAUUAUUAAUUGUUAUAUUCACUUUACAAGUUUAUACUAAGCUAAACAACCAUGAAAAUGAGAAGAACCUAAAAUAAUGCUAUAUUGCUUUUAGAAGCUUAUAAUUUAUAGAAUCACUUCAUGCUCAUUUCUCCCUAAAAUAUGAUGAUUUCCCUUAUAAGUCAGUCUGCUGGGGCUGGAUAUUGCAAGUUGGGUAUACUCUCUCGAGAAGAUAGUGGAAACAACAAACAAAUCUAAGGUUAUCAGGAUUUUACAAGUGGGGGGUUAGAUACAUACUUACAUAUUGCUGACGUUCAUUUCAUUAAGUAGGAUCAGACUCUCACAUUGGCCUAACAAAUCAAUAUCCUACUAGAUCUGAGUUAUACGUUAAAUUUUGGAUAACAAGAUCCUAAUUGGGAUAUUAAUGACCAAGCACAAUGGCAGCAAAAAUAAACACGUAGAGUUGAAACUAGAUACCUUCAGGAUGGAAUUCAUUAUAGCCGAAAAAUCUGUGAAGAUUUAAAAGCCUCUUGUAUUGUGGCAGAGGAAGAAUUCCACCAGUAAACAUUCCAAACUCAUACCAUAUUGGGUUGUAUUCCUGGAUAAUGAAGGCACCAAAAACAUUAUGGAAUCUCCACAGACCACAAAAAGAAGCAGAAGUUCUUUUGACAGACCUUGUCAACCAUUAUAUGACUUGGAUGGAUAUUGCGGACUGCAUAAGGUAGAUCCCGUCCAUCCGUGGAGUGAAGAAAUUCAAGGAGACAACCAAAUCCAAGAGCAACCUUAAUUCUCCGCAUCCAUGUAAAGCUAUCUGCAUUGCAGUUUUAACAUGUUAAAGGGUUACAUCUCCCACAAGCUUAAAUUGUCAAGGAACAGGCCAACAUGCCUGUCAGAAUCAGAAAAAAGAUUGUUGUUGUCAAACUUUUUUGCUGCAGACUAGCUAAGGUUCUGCAUGGUAAAGAAAUUUUGGACACGCUAUUGCAAGGCAAAAAACACAUUGCAUCAGUUUCGGAGGUGUCCAUGGCCUCUAUUUGAACCUGGUCCUUUUCUGUUCCAAUUUGAACCCUAGACAGAUUUUAGUGCAAGGGACCACCACAAUGGCAUACUGUUAGAUCAAAGAAGAAAAAAAUUGUACCAUCUUUCAGUAAGUUUUGAGCAGUAUCCAAGGAAUCAAGAUCAUACACCACGCCGAGGUUCUCAUCUUCACAACAGUAGCCUACCAACUUCACCAUACUAGGAUGUAGGAUGAACUCCGGAUGCCGAAGUAAAGUUAGCUCAUCCUGAAGACCAUUACAGAGUUAACUGAGGCAUAUUAAAGGCAUUGAAUUCUGAUGGAUGAACGAUUUCACUCAUAGCAUACCGUCAAUUCUCCCACUCCGGGGGGAUAAAGAUAUAUCCCUGACUCCUCCAGUAUUUUCACCGUCACUGCUCGCGAUUCAAUCUUUCCACGAUACAUUUUGCCAAACUGAUAGUUCCCGAUAAAAUUCUCCACAGAAAACUCAUCAGUGAACUGGCUAAGGUCUUCAUAUGAAAACACUUGCAUCUUACCAUGCCGUUUUGCUGAAAAGUUUCCAUAGAUGGUUUGUUAAAAACAUGAAAUCAACGAACAUUUCCACAACACUAAAACUUCAUACAACAGAUACGACUGCAAUCUCCUUUUAAGACUGUUCAUGGUUAGCAAAAGGCGCGCACUAUCGGCGUCCAUGAAAGAAGGCUUUCAUUCUUAUUCAUUUGCGUUGCCAGUAAAAAAAAAGUGAAAGGGGUACAAUAUGUCAUUAUGCCCACACAAUGGAGAAAGACCAACAAGGUUUUGCUUUGAUAAACAACAGAACAUUCCUUCUGAUUGCGACAUGGUCACCACAGCAUGGCCAGAUAACCCGUCCCCCCAUAGUGGAUACGCAAUUUGAUUCAUGCGGUAUACUUCUACAAAAUAAUCAGUAAAACAACAUAAAAGAGAAAUUAUGGGAAAGGGAUUCAAUACAUGCCUGUGUUUUUUCUAUGCACUUUUUUUAAGAAAUGCAGGUUGAUGUGCAAUCACAUCAGUCACUGCCACCACGUUCAUCAGGAUAUUCUUCUUAACGUUUAUCUUAGUUAAAUGUCAAUACACCACCUGACCUAUUUCUCAUCAGUUUUUGCUCUCGAUUUUGCUUAAAUUGAGAAACUACCGUCCUCUGUUCCUCAAUAUGAAGAAGAAGAAGAAGAAGAAGAAGAAGAAGAAGAAGAAGAACCAUCUUACCUGCUUCAAUCAGAAUCGUCCUUUUAUUAGCUAUGCUUGGACAAGGAAGGAAUGGGACGGUUCUUCUGAUGCCACCAAAAUGGUACCAGCUCGAGAGAUGAGAAUAGAGAUCUUUGAUAAUCCAUUUCUUAAAAUCUAUCAAUCCAAAUCAAACCAACUCUUACCAUAGAUAUCAAUUUGGAGUAAUAGAGAAAACAUAAAAAAUACCAGUCCAUUUUUUGCAUUCUGUCCCAUUGCAGAUUAUAUUCCUGAAUUAUUUAGAGCAAUGAGAAGACACUGAGCACUUGCUUACCACCAGUUAUAUUGCACCCGAUUCCCUUACUUGACGUCUCCUCUUAAGUUAAAUUUUCAAAGUACCUCUUAAAUAAUGACGUUGUCCCUAUUCAGUCAAGCCACCACGCCUAUCUAACCCAAGUAACUAAGAUGUAAACCCAAUAAAGAGGCCUGGACAAGCACAAAAUACAGCUCCCAAAGCGAGGGAGAAACCGCCUUUCUAGCCUUAUUGGUUAUUACUUUUCCAUGUAAUUCAUUUGGCUUCCAAAAAGACACUUGGCAGAAAGGACCAACAAUAUGGAGGCACAGAAAGCAAGAGAAACCCCAUGUGCCGGAUUACUAUUGCAUCUAUCGAGUCAAAAGUAUUAAAUGCUCAUGAAGCAUGCACAACAAAUUUACAAUGAGAAAAUAAGCAAGGAAUUUUAAACUAUUGACUGUGCACUCGCUAGAUCAACUCCUCAAAAUGAGUAGCAUCAGUACAGUAAAUAAAGCUCCUUUGUAGAGAAGUCAAGAUAUGAAUACGUCGAAACUUGUUACCACAGCAUAGAAUAUUGUACUCCAAGACAUACCAGUAGAGGAGUUCAUGGAGAUUGCUAUAGUUUAGCUUAUGUGCAUCCACAUAUUCUCCAACCACUCAUCAAAACUAGCAGCAUCAAUCCAUAGAAAAAAAAGAAAGUAGAAUAACAAAACAUCCCUCUCAAAAAGGACUUGAAACAAUCAACAGAUGAACCCGAUGUACCAAAAAAAAUAAAAAAUGAAGAAUUCCUGAUUACCUUGAAACUUAUCCUUCAGUGGAUUGGGCAGAGCAACUUCCAUAAACAGUUCGUGAUCAAAACCCACAGCCUCUUUAUCAUGCUGAACAAUAUGCAGCUUCAGCAAACAGCUAACAACUUGCUUCAUUGAUGGGCGGCGAUUGGGGUUACGUUUGAUACAUUGCAUGGCCAGCUUCGUAAUCUUUAAACCGUCUUCAAACUUGAACAACAGAUUUUCUUUGAGGCUUUCAUCCACAAGAGACGAUCUAGAGCCCUUGGCUCGCUUUGACCGCUUGUACUCAUUUUCGGCCCAUUCAUAAACACAAGGCGCAGGAGCAGGACUUAAUCUGUCCUCCUCUGUACAGACUCUUUUGCAGAUCAAACCCAACAAUACAACUCCAUACGCAAAGACAUCAGAUUUGUGAGACCAUUUGCCUGUUUCGAAAAGUAUUAGGGAUAAGCAAUCAAGAGAUGAUCAGAAAGGUGAAUCAGAUAAAAUUACUCCAUUGUGGAGAAAGAGUUAGAAACUAUAUGAAGGGUACAGGUUUCUCAGAUCAUGUCAUUGAAGUACCAUAUGGUUAUUUGGUUGCAAUUAGAGAGCAAGCACCCUAAUAUACUAGCCCACAUUGCAAAUAAAACAUCAAAGAAAUUGUCAUGAGUAUGCUGAAACUGAUGUUCUGAUUGAAAUAUUACUGUCAUGUGGAAUUGAAGAGCUUAUUUUAUUUGAUGAAUUAGAAAUCAUACACUACAAACUGUUAGUGCACCAUAAUAAAGGAUGAGCAUUUCAAAUCAUGAAUGGUUCGGGAAAUUAGUCGUGUGCAUUUUGGUCUCUGUUAAACAAUGACCAACAAUGACAAAUGAUCAGUCAAUAUUAACAUACGCGAAGAGCUCAGGUGAGCUAAACACGAAGCUGGUUUUGGAGGGACACAGCUCUUGUUUGGCUGAUGGACAUCUAAUUCACAUGCCACCGGUUAUACUAAAUGCGAUUAAGUAUCUCUGAAAUCAUUUCAAGAAAACUUCUGAGGGAACUGAGUCCAAACCCCUCUUGGCAUAUACACAAGUUUCAUAGCAACGAGCUAGUCUAACUUGGAAUUGAUAACCUUUUUCAUCGAGAUCUAGAUUCAUUAAAAACAUUGCAAAGUAGUAUGGACAUUGCUAGCAAGAGCAACCUCCUGUGCUAUGUUCUGUCGAAAGCUUCUCAAAAUAUAGUCAUCCAAAAUUGCCUGGGUUCAUGUAGUAUGGUCAAUAUAAUCAAUCACACUCGAUUUCCGCAGCUCUGAUCUCUCAUAGAAUCAAUCACACUCGAAUUACCAAUGAAUAGGUAAAAGCUCAAAUCCAAACAACUAGACAUGCUAUCUCCCAUAUGUUUAACAAAAACUGAGUGAACAAUUUGUGCAUGUGUUGCAGAUAUAACUCUUUAUAGAUAUCACUUCAGCAUAACCUAAGACCAGUAUCAGGAAACGUGGGGAAACAGGGUUAUUAGCAGGAACCCGAGGUGUUAAUCCUUUGACAAAGCCAAAAAAAAGGCAGACGAUAUAGAUGAGAGAUACCAUGAUUAUCAAAACUUGGAUCCAUGUAUCCAUGACAGCCUUUAGAAUCUUCAUCUAUGAGGAAUGACCUAUCGGUGAAAUAUCCACCUGAAAGCAUGCUGAAGUCAUAUAACACUGCAUUGUAAUCCUGCAAAACCCCCCGAAAGAAAAGGUAUGCCAUGAAAAUUAUUUAAGAUAAAUGGCCAAAAAGCCAACAAGACGUUCUUUCAUUAAAAGGACAAACCUGGUCAAUCAUUACAUGGGCAGCAUCCAAAUUACGAACCAGCAAAGGUAGGUCAAAAGAAUGAAGGAACGCAAGAAAGUUAGCGAGUCCUAAAGCAGCUCUGAUCCUCUGGUGCCAAGCAAAGCUAACUACAAAUAGCCGGAAAAUGAUCAUCGUCUAUGUUAAACAUAAGGACAAUCAUGGACAAUCUGCAAGGGAAAUUCAGCACAAAGGGGAAGAAAUCUUGAUUUUGCCAAUUGCUCCUAUAGAUAACACUAUGUCAACACUAGUAUUGAAUCACAAUAAGCAUAGAUGAUUGACCGCGUGGGCAAGGAAGGAGUUAUUUGCUCAGUGACACGUCUAAUUAUGUAUUGAAUGAAGUACCACCUUUGGUGACAAGAUUGUGGAGUGUGUCCAGAGGAUUCAGGUCGUAAACACAAGCAAAAUAUCCUUCCAAAUAAGUGUAACAAAGGCACUUGACUAUGUUUGGGUGAAGAUCAUGCAGUCCCGACUCAGUCAACCACUUGUGCAUAUAAGAUUCUUCCCGGAAGCUGCGUGCAACUGCCCCUGGUCUGAUCAGAGAUUUGUCCUCCGAUAUCUUCACCGUGACCUUCUUUCCCUCAUAAUCUCCUCGGUAGACUUUGCCUAAUUGGAAACUGCCGAUGUAGUUUUCUUCACUAAAGCCGUUUGUAAUCUCUUCAAUAAGACUAUAAGGACAAGUCGUCCAGUGAUCGGGAAACAUACCUGAAAAAUAUUCACCACACAAUUUUCAACAACAGAAAAGGCAUCGAUUUUGUUUUUUCUCUCCUUUUCCUUGUUUGGCAGUAAGUAUACAAAGGGUAGAGAAACCAGAAAUCUCACUCGGGAGUUUGAUAAGACUUUGCUCUUCGGGCACUUGAAGAGUGUGUAACACAUAUGAUUAACGUCCGGAGCAGAGCUUCUGCUCUAUCACAAGGAGGAUGGGGCAACUCCAACCAAGUUGUUGCAAGGGCAAGAAAGGAACAGUACUGUUAGCUGCUAUAGCAGAGAUAAGGUCAGAAUUCAUAAAUGUAGAUUUUGGUGAAUCUCUAGCCAAAGGAAAGAGGAGGACGAGAAUGACAAUAGAAUGCGGAAACUUCAACAAUGCAAUCCAAAAAGAUAUCGGUUGGCGACAAUCCCAUCAUAGGACAACCUCGUAUACUUUUAAACUAGGAAACUUAUCGUUAUUAUCACUAUGAUAUUGUUAUUGAAAUCUAAGUUUAAAUUUCCUAAAAAGGUGAGAUAAGAUUUUCCUACGGUGUCUUUUUUUGACUGGAUAGAAUAAAUGGAAAGUUUAUUACUAAAAAUAAAUUGAGUGCAAGAUAUAUAUUCAAUUCGAAACUUUAUCAUCAUCUCGAGUUUGACGUGAUAUGUGGCAUGAUAUAAGAUAUGCUUUGUUCGAUUUAGUACUCGAUACUAAUUUGAUUCGACCUUUUAGUAUUUGUAACUAUUUAGGGAGUACCAUAAAAAGGCAAGAAUGAAAUAUACAUAAUAGAUUUCUAAGUGCUUAUAGUUAAAUAAAUGCUUGCAGAUUCAGAAUUGUUACUGAAUCAGACUAUUUGUAUACAUAUUACAUCUAUACAAUAUAUGUUUCUAUACAUGUGUUAGAAUCGUGAAUAUUUUGUAGCUAUAUAUAAGGAAAGAAACUGAUUAGGGUUUCGUAGCUUGUACAGGCAUGUAAAGGAAGAAACAUAAUUAGGGUUUCGUAAAACGAAGGAAUGGUGGAGAAUCUCGGCUGCUAAUGGGGUCAGGAACUCAAACCCUAUUAUUCCAAUGAAAGCAAUAAUAGAUCCUCAAACCGCAAAGCACAUAAAUUCACACAAACCAUGUAACUUCUUAGCUCCCGCAUAGGAACAACUCUUCAGAUUCGAAGACCCAAAGAACAAAGAACUUGAUGUCUCAAUUCAUUGGCGUCCAAUUCAGACGCGGCAUCUCAAGAAAGGAAACAAUGGUCCGAUGCCAAAGUAACUAAUUGAAGCAAGCAAAGCGUCUGGAAUGUGGGAUGGAUGGACCCAAGAGAAAAAAAAAUCUCUAAGUAAUCAGCAUUGCAAAUUUGUGGAGAGAAGUGUGAUUACUAGUUCUCCUGUUUGUAAAAUUCGAUUCGAAAGAUGAAAUGAUGGUCCCCCAUUUUCAUGUCUAUGUGUAUCGAUGGAAGAUUUUUCUACUUUACCUUGAAUGAAAACUGUUGUAAUUUAAGCCUGAAUAAUCAAAUUUAAAUCGAAGACUUGACCAUUGAGUUAAUCUCUUUGAGAAAUGCCCCUCCCUUAAUUUUCAAACUGCUACUGAACCUUGCUAUUAGAUGCUUAAUGGGAAAAAAAGAAAAAAGAAAAAAGAAAAAAGAAAAAAACUUGUGUUAAUAGAUCACUUGACAGGGAUUAUUAUCUAAUAGUAACUGCGACGAAACAGACCAUUUAGGCUUGAUAUAUCCUCCUUCUUUAGUUAUCAAAUUAUGCUUAUAAUGAAAAAAAAUUUGCAGAGAUGAUAAGAAGUAGCUCUUUACUUCAAAAUAGGAUAAAAAAGUCAGUAAAAACAAACCCAUUUCCUCAAGCCCAAAAGCCCAUGUACUCACCUUAGUUAGUCCACAGUUACCAUCAGUUCACAAUAACACCUCAAUUGGCCCAACUACUUUUGAUUUUUUUGGUAUUGAAAUUGGCCCAACUAAUUUACCCUCAAUUCCCCGAACAAAUAAUAAUAAUAAUAAUAAUAAUAAUAAUAAUAAUAAUAAUAAUAAUAAUAAUAAUAAAUGCUCGACAUGGAAAAACCCUACAAACUUAACAAAGAUAUAUUACCAAACUAGCCUCACAGUGAAAAUUUAAUUUUCGAAAGAAAUGCCAAUGUUGGAUGAAAGAAGUAACAGUCAAUCGUUUACAUAUUUUUACCAUACGAUAUUUUAUAGUAUACAACUUCUUGUCAUUAUAUAUUUCUGUUGAUUAAUUACACCUUUGUCAAGUAAAGAGACAAAUUGCACAAUGCAAAUUCGGAAAUAUAUACCUAUUGGUGACAUAUUAUCAAAACGAGGCUCUAUAUUUCCUUCUAUAUCCAACCGGUUCUUGGGCUCGAAAAUGCUUCUUUGAGUUUUUGAACAAUUGCUGUCUUGGGAUGCAAGAAGUUAUUGCGUUGAUUUAGUAUUACGUACCAAACUGAUUUCAAUUUUUAAAUAUAGGUUUAAACACAGAAACACAAACAUCAGAUCCACCAAUUGCCAAUCAAAACAAUCACAAUGUUAGUAUAACUACACACGAGAGAAAUCAGGGGAAAGAUUGAGCUUUGAACCAUUCGAACUAGUGAGUAAUAAAUAAAAUUAGGUGUGGUGCGCAUGCCAAUUCCGCACAUAAUGCCUUAGACGAAUACAUUACACCACCCCAGUGUACCGCAUUCAACUUCAAUUGCAAUUGAAGCUGAGCGCUUUUGCGUGCUUUUUAACAAUGCGUUGUUUCAUCGUUCGGUUUCACCACUCGCCUCAUGCUAGGGUGAUCACAAGGUGAGCUCUCGAUACAUUGUAUCUCUGACCUUGUGAUGUUAGGUCCAUUCGAAUAGAAUCCCGAGUUCGCUUCUAGGCUGGCGUGCACCAAGGAGCAUUUCAUCUUGUCAUUUGACCCCGCGAUUUCUCCUAAUACUCCUUGGCCCAGUCAUCAGGACAAUGUCCGUGUGAGUACUUAAAGGGCCUCACCGUAAUCAAAUUAAGGAGAACAGCCCCAUAUGCAAGCACAUCGCUUUCUAUCAAAGACUUGCGGUUAGCUCAAAAGGAUCGACAAUCUCUCAUCACAGGCCAUUCAACUGAAAGAAGCCAAUAGUGUGCCCGAGGCCAAUAUUUGAAUGAGACUCCUCGUAACAAGAGCUCCAUUUUUACAGUGGUACCACUCUAAAGUCAACAUAGGACAACCGACUUGAAUGUCAGUUGUACUCCCAAAUCUUGUUGAUACGAGGAAAGCGCCUGAACCAACUGAAAACUUUGAUAGAGUCUAAACAGGAUUCAGGUAGCACCUCACAUCGGUGUCAACCAAGGUAGUGCCAUUUAGUACAUCUUCACCUCAAAAGACCUCCCCAAACAUAUUUCCUAGGACAAAUCCACGAGUAGUAACUUAACAGUAUGCUUUACUGUUGAUAAAAGAAAAUUUACUACAAGACCAUAAGAUUAGACAUUGUUCUUCUGAUUUGAUCAUACCGAAAAGCUAGAUACACUGUACCGAUUGGAUAUAAUUUGAACCUGAACCGUUAAUACAUAUACCUAAACCCAGGUACUUAUUUGCUUGCUUUCUGAUACUGCAAUGGGACUCUGAUGAACAUUAGUUUACUUUGAUAAGCGUACAAUAACUCGAGAUUCAAGGCUGUAGUUAAGAUAUUAUAUCUAACUUCCAGACUUCAGCUUCGUGGAACUGAAGAUGAAUCUUGUCCAGAAACACAAAAGGCCAAAGGUACAAUAAAUGCUUAUAGUUUAUGAUGAUCUAAAAGAAUGAGCACAUUUACAGCAAAGUGAUGAGAUAUGCCGCUAGUGGCAACAGGGGUAAAAGAUUCAAAGGCAUUUACCCAGGACAUUUCACAAGCUCAAAUACAAGAAUGUCCACAUGUAAGAAUCUUAAUGUGAUUAAUCUUAGUGGUAUAUAUAUACUAAAAAACAGAAUCCCCAGCUGUGAAUUUCCUGACUCAGUGAAUGGUAACAUAUAACCUUGCAAUCCAGCAUCAGUCUGCUUAUAGCAAAGGUCUCAUGAGUAAAGGAGAUGUGGUCAAACCAAAUUCAAUUCCCCCAAGGUUAGGAUGAUAUCUCCUUAAUUUGAUCAAAGUGCAUAUUGAAAUGGUCUAUAAGGCCUAGAUGCAUUUUCCUUUUAACAUUCAAAAUUUCGAAUCCUGUAUAAAUGCUGUCUGCAUACUCACUAUCUCUUUAAAUAUAGCCAAGCAUAAUUUCUCGAGACUUAAUUAAGCACUUAAUGUGGUUCCAUAAUCGGAAAAAGAAAAAACUUAGACUUCGGCUUGAUUACUUACCAAGACACCGUAUGGUUGAUGCCGAGAAAAUCAGGGAAUGAGACCUAAAAAAUUUUCUUUUAGAUGUUGCUUCAGCUCUAAAUUCCACUAUUCUAGAAACAAACCCCUCUUUCUGCGAUGCCUUACUCAGUACCCCCAUCGAUCUAUUAGAGAAACGUUGAUAGAAAAGGCAGAUCCAUGGCGAAUCAAAUGGACAACACUUCCGGGUCUGCGUCUAUGCGAACAAACAAAGGCCAAGUCUAAAAAUUCGAGCUUCACCAGAUCUGAGCUUGCGAAAAUGUAAAAAAGCGAAACUUGUCCAUACCUGCAAAACCAGGUCGAUACUGGGGAAUACGGUCGUGAAGCUUUGACUGAAGGCAGCCUGCCUCUUAGUAUGGAUGGUCACGGACCAGGUUUCAUCAUCAUCUGCUUGGACCUAUAACCGCAAAACCAGGUCACGAAACUUUGAUUGAAAAGGCAGAUCCAUGGCAAAUCAAACAGACACCACCUCCGAGUCUGCGGCUACAUGAACAAACGAAGGCCAAGUCUAAAAAUUCGAGCUUGAUCAGAUCUGAGAUUGCGAAGAUGUUAAAAAGCGAAAGUUGUUCAUACCUACAAAAGAACCGAGUCUAUGGAGGGGGAGAGAGAGAGACUUUUGGCAACAGAGUCGACCCAGGAGAAGGAGAAGGAGAAGGAGAAGGAGAUGGAGAUGGAGAUGGAGAUGGAGAUGGAGAGAGAGAGACCGAUGCAGGCGGAGGGAGAGCUGCAUCGAAGAGAGAUGGAGAGAGAGAGACCGAUGCAGGCGGAGAGAGAGAUGCAUCGGAGAGAGGGCUUGGAGAGAGAAAGGUUAACCCUACACGUCUACCGAAUAUUACAAAAACAGACAAAAUCUUCCACUUCCCACUAUUCAUCGUAAAAAUCUAUCGAUGGAUCGGCUCUAGCCCAAAAUGGAAAUGCGUUAUUGGGCUCGCGCAAAUUUGAUAUAGACAAAAUCUACCACUCCCAUUAUUCAUCCUAAAAUCCAUCGUAAGCUUAGAUGGGUCGGCUCUAGCCCCAAAUUGGAAAUGCCUUAUUGGGCUCACAUGAUAGUUAUAUAAGGAUUUGCUAUAUACAUAGGCCCUGUUUGAAGCAUUUGAAAUGCUCUUUGAGGCUUUAAAGGGGUUUGACCAUAUGGUAUGGCGUUUGGUUCAAGUUUUUGGGGACUUUGGGGGAGAUGCAAUUGCAUCUCCAAAGGGCUUCAAAGGGCUUCGGGGGAAUGGAGGGGUUGAGGUCCAUUGGAAAGUUGCAUUUUUUGAAUGCAACUUCUGGUGUUAUUCAUCUUUCCGGUGGAGAAGCCGAUUGGAGGCUGACAAUCGCCAGCUAAGGAGUCGCGCGAAUCGCCUGAAUAAAAAUAAAAGGUAUUUGCAUUUCUACAAAUACAUUCCCCAAAAGCCGGACCAAACGGGUCCAUAGUCUAUCCACGAAUUGUGUCUUUAGAUCUGUAAGGUCGUAAAAGAAAUGUCCCGAAACUUGUCGGUAGCAUUUCUAGAUUGACCUCCAUGGCGUAAAUUGAUAGACCGUUGAGUGGGCCAUUUUAUUCGAAGCAAUCAAAGUUAAAACUUUUGGUCAUUCCUCCAACCCAAAAAUGCUUCCAGAUUAAAUUAACUUGAGAAACAUCUAGAUAAGGCGAUUGUUCAAUUUUAGAAUCCAUUAUCAAAUUAAAAGAUUGCACGUGACUAAAUGCACAUACUUGGGUAAUAAAUGCUUUUCCUUUUUUUAUGAAUCUUGCAACGAUGACAAUUUAAUUUAAACGCAACACGAAAUGGUUAUGAUGAUAUAAAAUAUUAAAAUAUUUGAAGAAUCAAAUCGUAGACGAGUUUCUUUUAUAAUUUUCUCGAAAAAUAACAUAAUUUUUUUUAAUGAUUUAUAAAUUUACAUUAUCAUAUGAUGCAAGUUAAGCAUUCGAACUUUGUUUUGUUUUAAAAAAGCAAGAUUCGCAUGAAUUAAGUUAUAAAAUGAAAAAUUCGUUUAUAUUAAAAUACACAUUCCAAUCUUGCACUACACGUCCUUGUGAUAAAUUGGCAUGUUAUUAGCGUACAAAAACUCAUGCCUUAUAUUCAAUAAUUUACUCGAGUGUGUGAAAUGAUUAGCGUGACAUGCAACACAUUACAAACUUAACAAAAACAAAUAAACAUAAUGGCCUUAUAAUGAAAAUUUAAAUUUUGAAUGAAAAGUACAAAAUGCCAAUGUUUGAUGAAAAAAAGUCAAACAAUUUUUUUAUCAUUUAAUAUUUUAUAUUAUAAAAUGUGUUGUCAUUAUAUAUUACUAUUGAUUAAUCACACAAUGUAAAGUAAAAAUACAAAUUGCACAACAUAAAUAUCUAAUGAGUGUUAAUGUUGUGGAAGAUUGGGCUGCACGUGCUCAUAGAAGAAAAGAACUUCCGGGAAAUUUGCUUGUGUCCCCACCCUAGGCCCUUUGGGCUUUCCUCUGCAAUGAUGGUCCUGUUUUGGGCUUUGUUGGCUAAGCCUAGCUUUAGGAGACAACUAAAAGUAUCUUUGUUUAUGAAGGGAGGAGAGAGAGAGAGGGAGAGACUUUUGGCCAUGGAUGGAGAAGGAACAAAGUCGAUGUGAUUGCUCCUUUUCAUAUCUUGAAUACAAAACAAAACGAAAUAAAAUAUGAUAUAAUGAUAUUAGCACGGCUUAAGGUCAAUAUAUUUAACCAAUUAAUUGGAAAUUGAAGUGCCAAACAUUUAAUAUGUUAUAAUUAUGCAUUGUCAAUAUGGUCUAUUGAAUAUCAUGAUUAUGAAGUCCUAGACCAAUUUAUUUCUUUGUGUGUCAUUUCGAGUAUAUACUUAGUAGAAAAUACUGAUCACAUGAAUCAAGAUAAAAGCUAUUAUCAAAAUAUAUGUACAAUGGUAACUUCUUCUUUAAGGAUUGUCUCUAAGAGUGACUUAUAAGAUCCUAGAUUGCAUGAAAAAAAAUCAAAUGAUUCUCCUCUCAAAUUGUGCUUAUACUUUACGCUCCAGUCAAUCUGCUUCCAAUUAGGAUUAAUAUUUGCCUCACUUGAUACCAUGAGUUUUGGUACAAGAAAAAGAAACAUUAGCUUUGGUGAGCUUCAAUAUUGAAGACCGUAAUAUUUUUGUGACACUUCAUAUUAAGUAUUUUCUUGAAAGACCGUAAUAUUUUUGUGACACUUCAUAUUAAGUAUUUUCUUGAAGCUUUCAAGUAUAUUUUCUUAAUAUUACAUUCAUAGUUAAUACCCUAAAAAACCCUAAACUAGUAUACAUGUGACAAAUUUACUCUGACUAGUACCCCAAACUAAUUUAUUUGAUCAUAAAAAACUCAAAACUAGUAAAUUUGUGGUACUAUCCGCUAAAUUGGAUUUAUACCACAAAAAAAUCAUAAAAAUUAUAAACUAUGAUAAAGGGAACAUGAAAUCCCAAAUUGGUAUACUGGUCAAUUGUUAUAUGUCAUUUAAAUUAAUAAUUUGAUAAUAAAAUUUAACGAAAACUAACAUAGGGUAAAUUUGUCACAAGUAAACCGGUUUGGAGUCUUUGGUAGUUAAAAAAAUAGCAUGGGGUAAACUUAUAACAUGUGUACUAGUUUGAGAUUUUUCAAGGUAUUAACCCAUUACAUUAAUAUGGCUAGUUACAAAUAAAAUUUCUUAUUUAAUAUAACAACGAUAAUAAAUAAAAUUCUAAUUGGUAAUGAGUUUCUAUAAUUUACAUUAUCAUAUGAUGCAAGUUAAGCAUUCCAAUUUUUUUUAAAGCAAGAUUCGCAUGAAUUAAUUAAUAAUUUGACAAAUUGGUUUAUAUUAAACUACACUACACAUUCCAAUUUUGCACUACAAGUCUUUGCGAUAUACCGGUAUGUUAUUAGUAUACAAAAACUCAAGCCUUAUGUUCAAGAAUUCACUCGAGUGUGUGAAAUGAUUAGCGUGAUAUGCAACACGCUACAAACUUAACAAAAGCAUAUAAUUAUAAUGGCUAUAUAGUGAAAAUUUAAUUUUUGAAUGAAAAGUACAAAAUGCCAAUGUUGGAUGAAAAAAAAUGAAUCUUUUACAAUUUUUUUAUCAUUUAAUAUUUUAUAUUAUAAAACUUGUUGUCAUUAAAUAUUGCUAUUGAUUAAUCACACAAUGUUAAGUAAAAAUAUAAAUUGCACAACAUAAAUGUCCAAUGAGUGCUAAUGUUGUGGCAGAUCGGGUUGCAUGUGCCCAUAAAAGAAAAGAACUUCUGGAAAAUUGGCUUCUUUCCCCACCCUAGGCCCUUUAGGCUCUCCUCUACAAUAAUAGCCCGGUUUUGGGCUCUGCUAGCUAAGCCCAGCUUUUGUGUACCCAAAAAAAAAAAAAGCCAAAUAUAUACACAUUGGUGCCACAUUAUCAAAUUGAAUUUUUUAAAGCACAACCUCUUGUCAUUACAUAUUGCUGUUCUUGGGUUCGAAAAUGUUUUUUUAAGUUUUAAAAAACUGUUGUCUUGAAUGCAGGAAAUUAUUGUAUUAAUUUAGUAAUGUAUCGAACUGAAUAUAAAAAUUUAAAUACUACAAAAUUCACAAGCCACCAAUCAUUUUUGUUAAAUCAAAUUCAAUCUAGUAUACACAAUAUGUUUAUAAAUUUGAAUGCGUAUGUACAUACAUUUGUUUUGUUUCAUAAAACUAUUGUAGGAAGGGAAGUUUGAUAUUUCUUUUAUGUCAAAUAAUAGGCACUGAUUGUUUUAUAAAAUUUUGAGUGGCACGAAUAAAUAAAGAAAUCUCAAGAAACGCAUGUAUUUUAUGUUCAUGCUUCUUACUAUAUCAGAAUUUCUGUCCAGCUACAAGUUGGCAUGAUAUUUCCAUAUUGAAGGCAUGCUUUACUCAUGCUUUACUCUUACUUCUACGUACCCAAAAAUGUUGGAUUCCUCUUUGUUCUAAUUAACUUGACGAUGAGCGUCGACUUAAUUUUCUGUUUUUCUAGUUGAUUUAGGUUCCAUACACAAUUUCAAACGAGAGGCUCUUUUACAAAGACUAAAUUUUUCAAUACAGGUUGAAACACCAUGAUGCAAAUAUGCAGAAACAUAGGGUCUAUUUGGUAACGCUUUUGUUAUGAGAAAUAAUUUCUUUUAAAAAAUAAUCUUUUUCUAUCUCUAUUACCCGAAACAAUUUCUUUGGGAAGAAAACGUGUUUGGUAACUAUACAAAAUUUCUAUUUUCAGAAUGAAAAAAGAAUAAAAAUGCUGAUUCACAAACUUUUUUGUAAUGUAGAAUUUCUUUUAACUUUUUUUUAUUCUUCUUUACCGCCGUUGUCUAUUGCCGCCUAUAACUGACUACCGCCCGCCAUCGACCACUGCCAUCGUCGAUCGUGGUAGGUUGGUAGGCGGCGAUGGAUGGCAAUCGGCAGUGGUUGGCCGAUGGCAGGCGAGGGGGGAGGUGGCAGCGGGCCAAAAAGAAGAAAAGAGAAAAAGAAAAAAGAAAAAAAUUAUUUCUAAAAAUUGUUUUCAGGAGCAAAAAGUUAUUUUUUUUCUACUUAUUAUCUCCAUUCCAAAUCUAUUAUUCGGCCACUUUUCUAUUUUGGAGAAUAAAAAAAACUAAUUGAUGUUAUCGAACAAAUUUAUGUUUUUUUUUUGUUCUAGAAAACAUAAAAACAUAAAUCGAAAUAAAUAGAAACGUUACCAAACAGAGUCAUAAAGAUCCCAUCCACCAAUUAUCGAGUCAAAACAAUGUUAGUAUAAUUACACAUGAAAAAUCACGAGAAAUAGUGGACUUUGAUUCUUAAAAAGGUAACGAUUAAAAUUUGGUAUGUUACGCAUGCCAAUUCCGCACAUAAUGCCUCGAACAAAUAAAUUACACCACCACAAGGUACCGCGUUUGACUUCAAUUGAAGCCGAGCGCUUUUGCGUGUUUUCUGACAAUGCGCAAUUUCAGCAUUUGGUUUACCACUUGCCUCAUGCUAGGGCGAUCACGGGGUGAGUACUCAACACAUUGCAUUGUUAACCUUGUGAUCUUAGGUCCGUCCUCUGAAUAGAAUCCCGGGUCCGCUUCCAGGCUUGCAUGCACCGAGGAGCAUUUCGUCUUGUCAUCUGACCCUGCGAUUUUCUCCUCAUACAUCUUAACCCAAUCAUCACGAAAAG
rnacentral:lncRNA from 1 species